AAACUAACUAGGAUGCCUUCAGUAACGGCGAGCGAAGCAGGCAUAGCUCAAAUUUGUAAUCUGGCGCCUUUGGCGUCCGAGUUGUAUUUUCUAGAAGCGAGUUCGGCGACAGCUCCUACCCAAGUCCGUUGGAACGCGGCGUCAUGGAGGGUGAGAAUCCCGUGAAUGGUAGGAUGUCUGCUGCUAUGUGAACCGCCUUCGAAGAGUCGAGUUGUUUGGGAAUGCAGCUCUAAAUGGGAGGUAAAUUUCUUCUAAAGCUAAAUAUUGGCCAGAGACCGAUAGCGAACAAGUAGAGUGAUCGAAAGAUGAAAAGAACUUUGAAAAGAGAGUUAAACAGUACGUGAAAUUGUUGAAAGGGAAGCGCUUGAGAUCAGACUUCCUGUCUGGACUGUCCUUGCUUUUGCUUGGGUCAACAGUCCAGGCGUGGAGGCCAGCAUCAGUUUUGACGGCCGGAUAAAGGCCAUGGGAAGGUAGCUCCUCUCGGGGAGUGUUAUAGCCCAGGGUGUAAUACGGCCAGUUGGGACUGAGGACCGCGGCUUUGCCUAGGAUGCUGGCGUAAUGGUCUUAAGCGAC
rnacentral:rRNA from 1 species